rnacentral:pre_miRNA from 1 species
CAACUCUGCUGUGGCCUAUGGCUUUUCAUUCCUAUGUGAUUGCUGUUCCAAACUCAUGUAGGGCUAAAAGCCAUGGGCUACAGUGAGGGGC